rnacentral:rRNA from 1 species
UACAGAGGUCCCAAGCGUUUGUUCGGAUUUACUGGGCGUAAAGGGUGCGUAGGUGGCGAGGUAAGUUUGAUGUGAAAUCUCCGAGCUCAACUCGGAAAUGGCAUUGAAUACUAUCCCGCUUGAGGGUCGGAGGGGAGACUGGAAUUCUCGGUGUAGCAGUGAAAUGCGUAGAUAUCUGGAGGAACACCGGUGGCGAAGGCGGCAUCCUGGACCAACACUGACGCGUGAGGAGCGAAAGCCAGGGGAGCAA